rnacentral:rRNA from 1 species
AUUGAACGCUGGCGGCAGGCUUAACACAUGCAAGUCGAGCGGGGAAGGUUGCUUCGGUAACUGACCUAGCGGCGGACGGGUGAGUAAUGCUUAGGAAUCUGCCUAUUAGUGGGGGACAACAUUCCGAAAGGAAUGCUAAUACCGCAUACGUCCUACGGGGGAAAGCAGGGGAUCUUCGGACCUUGCGCUAAUAGAUGAGCCUAAGUCGGAUUAGCUAGUUGGUGGGGUAAAGGCCUACCAAGGCGACGAUCUGUAGCGGGUCUGAGAGGAUGAUCCGCCACACUGGGACUGAGACACGGCCCAGACUCCUACGAGAGGCAGCAGUUGGGAAUAUUGGACAAUGGGCGGAAGCCUGAUCCAGCCAUGCCGCGUGUGUGAAGAAGGCCUUUUGGUUGUAAAGCACUUUAAGCGAGGAGGAGGCUCCUUUAGUUAAUACCUAAAGUGAGUGGACGUUACUCGCAGAAUAAGCACCGGCUAACUCUGUGCCAGCCGCCGCGGUAACAC